UACCAAAUUUAAGGAUCCGAAACUCAUAUGCCCACAAAAUAAUUGCAUGUAUCAACAUUUUUCUCUCAGUUUAUCCACAAUCAAUAAGUUGCUGAUCUUCGAUCACCAAAAAAAACAACAUGCAACUGCCGAUCUUGGCAUGCACAUCUUCUUCAGGUAGAUCGGAAGAGAGGUAGAGAGAGACCGUAGAAGAAACAAAAUGGAAAAAAUGACUGCAGCAGCACUCUCGAACCACUAUAUACUAAGGCCAGGGGCAGCCUGGUCAAAAAGGAAAAAGAAGGGACAAAGUUGUAACUGCUCGGCCCUUAACUACAGUAACCCAGCUUUAGUAUAUAGUAAAUAAUGGUAACAGAAGGCUAAAAAAAUCCUACUUUGCUUCAAGUUUGCAGUGAUCCAUGCCUUCCGACCUAUAGUAAAUGUAUCCUUCAUAAUAUAGUGUAUCUAAAGAGCAUCUCAUAUACUUGCUUGGCCUAACGACAAUCACCAAACAAAAACACCGAAAUUCUUGAUUAUCAGUACAAAAUGCACAAUAAAGACUAACGACCCUAUUCUUUGAAUCUCUCAGUUCCCUGAAUGACAAACCAAAGUACACUCUUUUCCUCUUUUGGAGGAGUAAAGAUCACAAAUCUUCUUUCAUCUAAUAUCAUAGAGGCCAUGCUCUCUGCAAGGAAACCCCAGCAGUUGUAUGGUUCCGAAUAUAAUUGCCUUCACUAUGGUCAAUGGAUAUAUGAUUGUUCAUAAUACCAUCAACAACAGUAUUGAUGGUAUUAUUGUUGAUUGUUGAUAGAGUAAUGUAUUGCACACUGAGAUGACAAAAUAGACCAACAUUAUAGGGCCACUGUUGCAACGUCAGCAGCCCACGAAGAGUUUAACUUAACUAGACAAUGAGGUUUGAAGUUGUUAACUUGUACGUGAC
rnacentral:lncRNA from 1 species